AUGGGGGUACAGCCCCCCCUUCGCUCCCUCCCAGCACCCCCAAAGCCAGCUGUGCCCCCCACACCCGCUCCUCACUCACCCCAGUGGGGUGGGGGGCACCUGGACACUCUGGGCCUGGGUCAGGGGGUGAUGAAUCCCCCCUGCCCUGGGCUGGCACUCGCCGGUCGGGCUGGCUCAGGAGGGGGGGUCACACUCAGAGGACAAGGGAGCACCCCGUCACCCCCAGAUCUGUUCAGCUGUGCCUGCAUUUGCCUGUUGGGGGUCCCGAGGGCCUGGCAGUGCCCACACAGGGGGUCACAGGGGGCUGCAUGCUGCAUCCUUCAUGUUUGGGGCUGUUCAUGGGCUGAGUCUGGGGGUGGGGGGAGCUGCUGUGACCAUCCCUGUGCCAAACUGUUUGGGGAGGGGGCACCCCAACCUGCCAGAGUGGAGCUGGGAAUGGAGCAGAACUGGGGGGGAAGCCCAGCCCAGCCUCAGUGCAGAGCCCCCCACUCCUGGUGUCCCCAGGGCAGCUCUGCGUGCCCUCCACGCCUGCCUGGGGACCUGCUGCUGCACUCGGGGGGUCGCUGGGGACCCCCACAGCUCUGGCAGGCGUUUGCACCCCCACAGGCUCUGCUGUUGUUUGGGGGGCCGGGACCAGCGCCCCGCUGUGCGGGCCGGGGGGGGACGGGUCCCUCUGGCUGGAUCCAGCUCACCCCUGCCCUGGGAUCCCCUCCCUGCAGCUUUGUCCAUCCCAGGGGCUGUGCUGGGGACAGGCUUGGCUCCAUCCCCUCUGCUGUCCCCCCAUGGCUGUCUGACCCCCAUCUGGCCGUGUGUCCCCAGCUCCGUGGGGCUCUGUCUGUCCCCCAGCCCGGUGCCCUGGCUCGUCCUCUCGCUGGGAUCACACAUUAUGGUGCUCUGACUCUGGAUUCACUAUUUGUUUUCAAACUGCUGCUAAAGGCUGGGCUGGGGGGGUCCUGCAGAGCCCUGGGCACCUCAGAACGCUGCAGCCCCCCCUGCAUGGGGACCCCCGUGUGCUCCCUCCUGCUGCAGCUUUGGGGCUGGGCCGGUCUGGCCACCGGGGCAUGCCAAGCUGGCCUUUGUGUGCCCCGGGGCCCGAGCACGGGGCUGUGGGCACCCAAAAACACAGGGAACCACCCCAAACUGCCUGGGGGGGGCACGGCGAGCUGGGGCUGUGGGGGGGGGAGGCAGCCUGAGCCCCUUCCCCUGCAGGAGGGGCGCUGCAAUUUGGGGUCCAAGGGGUGCAGUGGGGUUUGGGGGGCUCAGAUUGUGCCCUGUGACCCCCCCAGGUCGGUGUCCUCACCCCCCCCCCCCGGUGUUUCUGCGUGUCCCCCCCGCAGGGGAACUGAGCCCUUGUGA
rnacentral:lncRNA from 1 species